UAGUCCACGCCGUAAACGAUGAGAGCUAGGUGUAGGAGGUAUCGACUCCUUCUGUGCCGCAGUUAACGCAUUAAGCUCUCCGCCUGGGGAGUACGGUCGCAAGAUUAAAACUCAAAGGAAUUGACGGGGGCCCGCACAAGCGGUGGAGUAUGUGGUUUAAUUCGAUGAUACGCGAGAAACCUUACCUGGUCUUGACAUCUAGGGAAUUUCUAGAGAUAGGAAGUGCCUGCUUGCAGGAGCCCUAAGACAGGUGGUGCAUGGUUGUCGUCAGCUCGUGUCGUGAGAUGUUGGGUUAAGUCCCGCAACGAGCGCAACCCUUGUUACUAGUUGCCAGCACGUAAUGGUGGGGACUCUAGUGAGACUGCCGGUGACAAACCGGGAGGAAGGUGGGGGAUGACGUCAAAUCAUCACGGCCCCUUACGACCAGGGGCCACACACGUACUACCAAUGCCUGGGUACAGCGAGUAGCCAGAUAGCGAUAUCGAGCG
rnacentral:rRNA from 1 species